GUGGCUGUGGUUGGGUUGGUCUGAGCAGGGGGACUGGGGAACAGAUUUGGAUGUUUGGGAUCCAGAAAAGCUCUGGGGAUCCAUCUGUUGGUUCAGGUGGUGGGUGCAGAGCUCAGCAGGGUGGGAAGGCUGUGAUCCAACCUGAUCCUGCUGGGACAGAGCAGGAGGAGCUGGAUGAGCAGCAAGGCUGGGCUGAAUCACAGCACCAACCUCAGAAACAGGUUCUGAGUCCCAUUAAGGGUUUUUUAAUGUUUGUGCUCCAACCAGUGCCCUGCCUGGAGCCUGGAUGGUCACGCCAUGGAGAAUGCCAUUGUUCCCCCUCCCUGGGGCAGCAAUUGGAAGCUGGGGCUCUAAAUCCAGAUUUAGGCUGUGUCUAAGUCGUGCCAUCCUUGGGGAAAUGCCAAUCUCACCUUCCCAAGGGCAGCUGUGGAGCUCUGAGGUGUCCAUGGGUGGGCAGAGCUGCACUGGGGUUCUGUGUCUGUGUUCAUCAUCCCCCCCUGCCAGCUCUGCCCCCUCUAAAGUUCACACCCGGCUCUCUGCUGCUAAAUCCAAACCAGAACUCGUGCCCUGCUCCUUGCCUCUGCCCUUGCUAACCCCUGACCUGCAGCUGCGGCUGCAGCAGGGAUUGCAGCAGCUCUGGUGCUGCAAUCUGCUGGGACUGUCCUGUCCCAGCCCUCAGCUCGUGUUUGGUGUGAGCACAGUGCAGUAAACACCCCUUGGAAACCACGGUGGCUGCUCCACCUUUCUUUCCACUCGGAUUCCUCUUCUGGAGUGGUGGUUGGGAGAUGAUAACUUGGCAAUAAUUAGGAGCUAUCAACGUUUUCCAGGGGAAUACAGCAGGAGUUUGUUCCUGGGAGUAAACAGGGGCAGUGCUUGGAAACCCAGGGCUGUGCUUGUCCUUGCCUGGAGAGGCAGGUCAUUGAGAAGGAUUAGGGGCAAUCCUUACUCACUUUUUUGGGAGCAGUAAUUUGUGAGAGAAAUGGGUGGUCUGACUUGUCCAUUUUGUGAAAAUCAGGAGAACAAGGCAGAACAAACCACAGCACCUUUUUAUUUUCCUUUUUUCCAUCCUCACUGCGCUGCAACACCGCGAAUUCUGCUGGGGUGGUGAAUUACUGGGUGAGUGUUAAACAUGCCAGAUCAAACAAGCUGCAAACACCUUUUCACAGGAAGGGUGACACUUCUCUGUGUCCCACCCAGCUGCUCUGGGCUCCUGUGGUUGUCUCACAGUCCUUGUGGCGUUGAUGUAACCCUUGUCCAGCCUGGAGGGAGCAGAGAGGAAUUCUGUGUUGAAAUGAGCUGGCUGGAAAGGCUCUGAGCGAGGAGCAGGGUGGGGAUCCAUGUGUUGGUUCCUGAAAUUCUCCCUGAAAUUCUCCAGCCUCAGAACAGCCUGUCCAGGUGCUGCCAGCCCAGCCCUGUUCUCUCCCUUGCACAAAGUCUGGGCUGGUUUGACCUUUCCUGUUUUUCAUCCUCCCCUGGGGAAGCUCCAGCACUCAGAGUCAGCAAGAAGCAGCCCCAGGGCCUCUGGAUGUGGGCUUGGAGGUGGAUUGGCACUGCCAGCUCUGGGUUGGGAUCUGCCUGGUGGUCCAGGCCUGGCACAGUUGUGCUUUCACCUUGAUUUUGGGGACAGAUGGCUUUUCCACAUCUCUGGCAGCCUCUGCAGCGGGUGCAGCCCUUCCCUGCCUCUCCCAGGGGCUCCUGGUGCUCAGGAGGGAGAAUCCAGGGGGUCACACAAGGAGAGCAAUUCCCAGCUCCUUCCCUUCCCAGCUCUGGGGACAGGAGCUCAGUGCAGCUCUGCCUGAAUCACACCAUAACCAAGCCCAAACCCUAUUAUUAGACUCUGGAAACUGCUGCCUUAGAGACAGGUUUGCUUAUAAAUACCCAUGAUUUUCUCUCUGCCUCUCCAAAGCUGGCAAGGAAAAGGGAUUUCUGCUUGGCCAGAACCUGCCUGCCCUGCUGUUGGAGCUUCUCCCCACAUCAGCUCGUCCUUCCAGCCCCCCAAAUUCCAGCUGUGGGGCAGCAGGGUGGCAAAUCCCAUCUGUUUCUGUGAUCCUUCAGCCCUCCCUGCCCCUGCCCUGCCUCCUCUGCAGGCUGUGGUCGGUGCUGGCUGCGAUUUUUGGUCCUUGUCCCUCCUUUCCAGCCGGGUUUGACCCCACUCCUGGCCGGGAAAAGCUGCUCCAGUUCUUCCUCGGGCUCCCGGGAGAGGGCACCGUGCUCCAGAGAACCGGGACGAGCUCCAGAGAACCGGGAUGAGAACCCCAGGCAUGGGCUGAGGAGCCGGGGCUUUUGCUGCAGCUGAAAUUUGGGGGUUCAGGAGGGAAGGCGCCGCCCUGAAGGAGAUGCUGCUGACUGUUCUCCCUCCUGCAGCCUCAAUGACCUGUCCCUGUUGCUGUGACAGCCCUGGGGUUCAGUUUCACGUGUUCCAGGUGGUUUUGCAGGUGUUCAAACCAUUUUUCAGGCAUUCCUGGUGGUUUCCAUGGCUGGAGAGGGAGAACCUCCCUUCCUUUAUGUCCCUGGGCUGUGAUGGACAAUCCCUGCCUAAUUGGGAUUAUUUGUGGAUCUCAUUUUCUCCAGAGAGCUGAAAUGUAUUGACAGAUAAUCCAUUCUGCAUGGAGAACUCAUGGUUAAUUGCUUCCCCUCAGUUGGGCUCCCUGGGCUCUGUCUCACAGUUUGCUAACAAACAUUUUCAAUCCUGGAAGCCCAAAGGAAAAACUUGUGGGAGCUGCUUGGAAACCCAGGGCUGUGCUUGUCCUUGCCUGGAGAGGGGGAUCAUUGAGAAGGAUGAGGGGAAAUCCUUACACACUUUUUUGGGCCCAAAAAGGUGAGAGGGAGAGUAAUUUAUGAGAGAAAUGGGUGGUCUGACUUGCCCACUUUGUGAAACUCAGGAGAACAAGGCAGAAAAAACCACAGGACCUUUUUAUUUUCCUUUUUUAUUUUUCCAUCAUAAAAACUCGCUGGGAUUUUGGCUGCAGUGUGAAAAUGGUUUUCAGGCAGGAAGGUAUUUUAAAUGUUUAAACAAAAGGGAAAGAGAAGAUUUGAGGGAGCUCACCCACAGUGCCAGGGUUAACGGGGCUGCCUCUGAAACGUCACCUGGGGUCUGAUGUGCCUCUGGUGCAUGAAUGAUUUACAGGAACAGCAGCUCGGGCUGGGCCUGUCAGAUGAUGCAGAGCUGUGUUCCAGCCCCCAGAAUCUGCUUUUCCCCUCAGCUGCCCGGCAGCCCCCAGGCAGGGCCCUCCUGUUACAGCAGGAGUGCACGGGCAGGGGGGGACCUGGGCAUUUUUUGCAGCUCUGUGUGACCAGAGAACAGCUGGAGCUGUGUCAGGGGAAGUUUAAGUUUGGUAUCAGGACGAUAUUCUUCCCCCAGAGGGUGUUGGUCACAUUCCCCAGGCUGCCAGAGCUCCAGGAGCAUUUGGACACCGCUCUUGGGGACACACAGGGUGGGAUUUUGGGGUGUCUGUGCCACACCAGCAGCUGGACUCCACAAUCCCUCUGGGUCCCUUCCAUUCAGGAUAUCCCAUGAUCUAUUUUUCUUGCUGGUGAGUUCACAGAUGUGUUUCUGUGGACUCUGCACCUCCCAGAGGGGUGAUGAAAACUGUUGAUGUGUUUUUGUGCUCUGUUCUUCACGCCCUAAAUAGCUCUGGCCAGUUCUGCUCAGCUGGCUGGAGUGCUGAUGGUGCUCGGACAGCAAAUUCUGCCGAGGGGAGCUGCAGGCAAAGGCUGAUUCCUGCAGCCUCUGGGGAGGACUCCUUGAUAAAAGGAGCAGGGAGGGUCCAGCAUCUCCCCGGGAGGAGCUGGGCUUGGUUUCCUGCUCUGCUGGAGCACUCUGUGCUCCUGGUGCUCCGUUCUGCCUCCAGGGCUGUGCAGAGCCCAUUUCCCUGCCAUGGGAAUUCCCUGGCUGUUCUCAGCUCCUCUCUGGGGACUGCAGGCAGCCUCUGGAAUUCUUCUGCCCGUCCACAGAACCACUGUGCUGAUCAAUCAUCCAGUACCACCUUCCAGAAAUAUUUGCUGAGGGAUUUCCUCGUGCUUCGUGUUCUUGUGGCUUGGGGAGGGCUCCUCCUCUGGAGCACCAAAAAGGAGGACGAGCUGCCUUUUCCCCCUGAACCAGUCAAUAUUUACUCUCCCAGGCAAGCUGUUAAAAUGCUGCUGCUCUCUUGGUGUUGGUGCUUGUUCCUCCUGCCUCGCUGGAAUCUUGCCUCAGCGUCUCCCACACUUUGGUUUUUGCAGCAGUGACAUGUGGGUGUUCUGGGGACAAGGCUGGGGGAACCUCCCAGGGGCUGCCAGGUCAUCUUUGCACCCCCUCCCCUGAGACUGGGGGUGCUCCAGCCCAGCCACCCCAAGGAAGGCUGGAGAUGGGGAAGGGAAAGCCACGGGAUCAUUUAUUCAGCCCCAAGGUGAAAUCCUGCUUCCACAAAAAUCCAGGGGGGAAGGUAACAAGGAUGUGUCCAGCAGGUUUUUUAGGAGACCUGAUAAACUUUGCCAGAGCCCUGUCCAAGAGGAUUUUUGGUAUGUGCACCACUUGUGUGCAACGUUACCUGGAGCUUUGCCACUGCAAGUCCUUGGUCUCUUUAUUUUCAAUUACUGAAACACUUUAUUUCCCUAUUUCUGCAAUUCCUAUGAGCCCCAAGAAUUGCCCUGCCUUUCAGCUCAGCGUUGCCUUUCUGCUUCUCUAACAAGUGGCUUGAAGAUCCUCCCUGGCAAAGAUCUUCCCUGGCAGACUGAUUUGUUAAAGUUGUUUGGCUCCAGCAGGAAACUUUUCUCCUCUGCUGGUAGGGGAAGGCAGCCUGGUCCUUAAUUGCUUUCUGCAGCUUGGCCAAGUGAAAUCCAUCUCUGUGCCCUCAGAGAUGGAGCCAAAAAAAAAAAAUAAAUAUCCCCAAUGGUCCCUUGUGCUGUGGGGUGAGCGUGGUUCCAAGCCUGUCUCUCCUGGAUUUAUAACCUCUGGAGGAGGAAGAUUUAAAGUUCUGGUGUGCAGGAGGGCUCCACAUUGGUUUUGAAGGUGAUUUGCACCAGUUUAUCUUUGUUAAUUCUGCCUCAGAAAGGAGAAAUUAUUGUUAAAAAAGGUGUUUAUUUUACCUGUUGGCACCAGCUGGAUUCAUCUCUCCUGUUGGGAAUUAUUUGGUCAAUUCAUCAAUUUUCAUCUGGUUGGUUUCUGCUCUGCCCUUUGCACUUUCAGCUAUUUUGAGGGAUUUAUUCAAAACCCCAGUUUCAUCAUUUCUUACCCCUGGCUGGUGCAGUCAAAAGUAAGGGUGGGGAGUGGGGAGGAUAAAUCCUGGAAUCUGGGUGGGAAACCGUGGAAACUUUUCAGUCAUUAUUUAAACCUUUGCAGGGCAGGAAGAGGAAUAAAGCCCCAAAGGCAGGUUGUUGUUUGGCCUUUCCAGUGGGAACAGGAAUAGGUUUCAUUUCCCUAAACCUCUCAGGUUAAAUCCCAGAUUGGUCUGAGCUGGAAUAACAUGAUGAGGACCUUUCUAACUAAAAGAGGGGAAGUUUAGGUUGGAUAUUGUGAAGAAAUCCUGUGAGGGUGUCCAGCUUUCCUGAAGGAAAACUCUUGGUUGCUUCCAUCCCUUUGACCCAUGGUCAUUUUCAAAGCUUGAGUAGAAUUUUUCAGGUGCUUCCAGCUUGACUUGCUGUGUGAUUAAUGAGCAAUUACGAGCAGAUAUAAAUAACAGCGGAUUGAAGAAGCGUGUAUGGAUGCUAUAAUUAAAAGCUCUAUUACAAUAUUUAUUCCUGUUUAAUGAUAGAUGGCAAAGGUUGCUCUGUAAUUCUGUAGGACUUGAGUGAUCUUCCCGGGGAGGGAGCAGCUCCUCUGUUUAAUUGCAGCAGUGUUUAGGGGGUAAAACCCUGUGGGAUCUGGCCAGGAUUUCAUGGUGCUUCCCUUCUGUAGGGACACUGGGUGUCUUCCCAAAAAGAAUGCCCCAAAACAGGGCAGAAUGGAGCCUUGUCCUCACACUGGUGAGAAAAAUCUGAUUUUUCCCAGUUACAUUUUAACCCCACUCACAUGAAAGGUUUGGAUAUUUUUUUUGGUUAUAAAAUAGGAACUUUUGCAUCUUUUUUUAAGAGAAAAAAAACACUUAAUGGAGGAUUUGUACCCUGCUGUGUCCAGAAUCACUCCUGAUGCAGCAAAACUUUGGCCUCGCCUGCCUUGUGCCCAAAACUGAGGGGAGAGGGGCACCCCUGGCUCCAAACCAGCAGCUGCCUCUGCUCUUAGGAAAUGUUUUGGCCAUUUCUGUCUGGAUACAGCCCAAAAUCAGCCCUCACACGCUGCCUUCACCCCAAAACCCACCGUGUGUUCUGCGAAACCCACAUCCCCUGUGGGUUUGGGAAGGCCUUUAGUGCCUGCGAGGGAAACAUCUGGAUUAUUUCCUAUUUUCUGCACCAGGCAUCACUCUGAGGGAUUGUCCCCAAAACCUGGGGGUGGGUGGUGAUAAAAAAGUGCUUUUUAGGUGUCACUUUCUCCCUUCCCAGAGCUCUCCCUUGUGCUCAGGCCGUGGCAGCCCCAUGGCAGCAUUUCCUGCACAUUUUGCACAUGGCAAGGAGGAGCCAGGUUUAUUUUUAGGCAGUUUACAAAUAAUUCUUUUGGAGAAAAAAAACCCCCAAAAAACCCCCAAAAAACCAAUCAACACUGCAAUUGUGGCUUCUAAGAACCGUUGAUAGAAAAAAAAAAUUAAAUCAGCCUGUUUAAAAGCUGGUAUUCUGGGACAAAUCCCCCAGGGAAAGGGAAAAAUGUGGCUGUGUCGUGCCAGGGUUCCAGGCAACGUGUUCAAAAUAAACCAGAAAUGCCAGGGUUUUGCUUCCACUUUGCUCUUCUUACCCAGCCUCCAGUUCUGAGUCAGGGGUGAGACAGGCACGAGCUGCUUCUGAACCCUUGUUUUUCCUGCUGGGGCUCUGUGUUUAUCUUGAUUAAAUUGUGUAAUCAGUGCAGGUCAGGAUGGAAUUCUUGGGGCUUCUUGGGGCUCAGGGAGCAGAGUGACUUUCCUGACGGGGAUUUUGGAAAGCCUUCCCCUAAAAUUCCUGUUGUUUUAACUGCUGAAAUGAAGUGAAUGCCACUCAGAGUAUUUGCUUUUCAAGCCCAUCCUGCCCUGUGGAAUAUGCAAUGCACCAGUUGUCAUAAUUGUCAAUAUUUAGGAUAAAUUUGGUCAAAGAACUGAGAAACAGCUGCUCUUCAUAAAGCUGUGAUAAUUUCAAAUAAACAUUAAGGAAAGGUGAA